ACGAACGCUGGCGGCGUGCUUAACACAUGCAAGUCGAGCGGUAAGGCUCCUUCGGGAGUACACGAGCGGCGAACGGGUGAGUAACACGUGAGCAACCUGCCCUUCUCAUCGGAAUAAGCGUUGGAAACGACGUCUAAUGCCGAAUAUGACUUCGGACCGCAUGGUCUGAAGUGGAAAGCUCCGGCGGAGAAGGAUGGGCUCGCGGCCUAUCAGGUAGUUGGUGAGGUAACGGCUCACCAAGCCGACGACGGGUAGCCGGCCUGAGAGGGUGACCGGCCACACUGGGACUGAGACACGGCCCAGACUCCUACGGGAGGCAGCAGUGGGGAAUAUUGGACAAUGGGCGAAAGCCUGAUCCAGCAACGCCGCGUGAGGGAUGACGGCCUUCGGGUUGUAAACCUCUUUCAGCAGGGACGAAGCGAAAGUGACGGUACCUGCAGAAGAAGGACCGGCCAACUACGU
rnacentral:rRNA from 1 species